GACGGAGGAUGCAAGCGUUAUCCGGAAUGAUUGGGCGUAAAGCGUCCGCAGGUGGCAGUUCAAGUCUGCUGUCAAAGACCGGGGCUUAACUUCGGAAAGGCAGUGGAAACUGAACAGCUAGAGUAUGGUAGGGGCAGAGGGAAUUCCUGGUGUAGCGGUGAAAUGCGUAGAUAUUGGGAAGAACACCGGUGGCGAAGGCGGCUCACUGGCUCAUUACUGACGCUCAGGCGCGACAGCGUGGGGAUCAAACAGG
rnacentral:rRNA from 1 species